rnacentral:rRNA from 1 species
CGUGUGGUUCUAUUUUGUUGGUUUCUAGGACCGCCGUAAUGAUUAAUAGGGACAGUCGGGGGCAUCAGUAUUCAAUUGUCAGAGGUGAAAUUCUUGGAUUUAUUGAAGACUAACUACUGCGAAAGCAUUUGCCAAGGAUGUUUUCAUUAAUCAGGAACGAAAGUUAGGGGAUCGAAGACGAUCAGAUACCGUCGUAGUCUUAACCAUAAACUAUGCCGACUAGGGAUCGGACGAUGUUAUAUUUUGACUCGUUCGGCACCUUACGAGAAAUCAAAGUGCUUGGGCUCCAGGGGGAGUAUGGUCGCAAGGCUGAAACUUAAAGAAAUUGACGGAAGGCACCACCAGGGGUGGAGCCUGCGGCUUAAUUUGACUCAACACGGGGAAACUCACCAGGUCCAGACACAAUGAGGAUUGACAGAUUGAGAGCUCUUUCUUGAUUUUGUGGGUGGUGGUGCAUGGCCGUUCUUAGUUGGUGGAGUGAUUUGUCUGCUUAAUUGCGAUAACGAACGAGACCUUAACCUGCUAAAUAGCCCGUAUUGCUUUGGCAGUACGCUGGCUUCUUAGAGGGACUAUCGGCUCAAGCCGAUGGAAGUUUGAGGCAAUAACAGGCCUGUGAUGCCCUUAGA